GAGUGAUCAAGUGUCUUAAGGGCGUUUGGUGGAUGCCUAGGCGACAAGAGGCGAUGAAGGACGUGAUACGCUGCGAUAAGCGUCGGGGAGCUGCGAAUAAGCUUUGAUCCGGCGAUUUCCGAAUGGGGAAACCCACUCCGCAAGGAGUAUCCCGGCCUGUAUGGGUCGGGAAGCGAACCCGGGGAACUGAAACAUCUAAGUACCCGGAGGAAAGGACAUCAACAGAGACUCCGCUAGUAGUGGCGAGCGAACGCGGACCAGGCCAGUGGCUGCAUUUUAAGAACCGGAACCGUCUGGAAAGUCGGGCAUUAAUGGGUGAUAGCCCCGUACGGGUAGAAAGAUUUGCAGUCCUCGAGUAGGGCGGGACACGUGAAAUCCUGUCUGAACAUGGGGGGACCACCCUCCAAGCCUAAGUACUCCUUGUCGACCGAUAGUGAACCAGUACCGUGAGGGAAAGGUGAAAAGCACCCCGACGAGGGGAGUGAAAUAGAUCCUGAAACCGAACGCCUACAAACAGUUGGAGCCCAAGGUUCGUCCUGGGUGACAGCGUACCUUUUGUAUAAUGGGUCAGCGACUUAGUCUAACUAGCAAGCUUAAGCCGAUAGGUGUAGGCGCAGCGAAAGCGAGUCUUAAUAGGGCGUCUUAGUUAGUUGGACUAGACCCGAAACCAGGUGAUCUAGCCAUGAGCAGGCUGAAGGUGCGGUAACACGCACUGGAGGGCCGAACCCACGAAUGUUGAAAAAUUCGGGGAUGACUUGUGGCUAGGGGUGAAAGGCCAAUCAAACCUGGAAAUAGCUGGUUCUCCGCGAAAACUAUUUAGGUAGUGCGUUGGACGAAUACUCUCGGGGUAGAGCACUGGAUGGGCUAGGGGUCCUCACCGGAUUACCAAACCUAACCAAACUCCGAAUACCGAGAAGUACUAUCCAGCAGACACACGGCGGGUGCUAACGUCCGUCGUGAAGAGGGAAACAACCCUGACCGCCGAUUAAGGUCCCCAAGUCAUGGCUAAGUGGGAAAGGAUGUAGAACUCCCAAAACAACCAGGAUGUUGGCUUAGAAGCAGCCAUCAUUUAAAGAAAGCGUAACAGCUCACUGGUCUAAUUAAGGGGUUCCGCGCCGACAAUGUAACGGGGCUCAAGCCAUGCACCGAAAUCGCGGGCUCAGCAAUGAGCGGUAGCGGAGCGUUCUGUAAGUCUGCGAAGGGAGACCCGCGAGGGCUCCUGGAGAUAUCAGAAGUGCGAAUGCUGACAUGAGUAACGAUAAAGGGUGUGAGAGACACCCUCGCCGAAAGUCCAAGGGUUCCUGCGCAACGCUAAUCGGCGCAGGGUUAGCCGGCUCCUAAGGCGAGGCCGAAAGGCGUAGUCGAUGGGAAUGCAGUCAAUAUUCUGCAGCCAGCGGGUAGUGACGAAUGCCGUGUGCUGUAUCUCCUUACUGGAUUGGAGAUGCUUCGAAGGUGUUCCAGGAAAUAGCUCCCGCACUAAUGACCGUACCCGAAACCGACACAGGUGGACUGGUAGAGCAUACCAAGGCGCUUGAGAGAACUAUGCUGAAGGAACUCGGCAAAUUGCUCCCGUAAGUUCGCGAGAAGGGAGCCCAGUGUCUAGGCAACUAGGCAUUGGGGGCACAGACCAGGGGGUUGCGACUGUUUAUCAAAAACACAGGGCUCUGCGAAGCCGUAAGGCGACGUAUAGGGUCUGACGCCUGCCCGGUGCCGGAAGGUUAAAAGGAGGGGUGAGAGCUCCGAAUUGAAGCCCCGGUAAACGGCGGCCGUAACUAUAACGGUCCUAAGGUAGCGAAAUUCCUUGUCGGGUAAGUUCCGACCUGCACGAAUGGCGUAACGACUUCCCCGCUGUCUCCAGCAUAGACUCAGUGAAAUUGAAUUCCCCGUGAAGAUGCGGGGUUCCUGCGGUCAGACGGAAAGACCCCGUGCACCUUUACUACAGCUUCACACUGGCAUUCGUCACGACAUGUGUAGGAUAGGUGGUAGGCUUUGAAGCUCGGGCGCCAGCUCGGGUGGAGCCAUCCUUGAAAUACCACCCUUAUCGUUAUGGAUGUCUAACCGCGGUAUUACAGUACCCGGGACCGUGUGUGGCGGGUAGUUUGACUGGGGCGGUCGCCUCCCAAAGAGUAACGGAGGCGCGCGAUGGUGGGCUCAGAGCGGUCGGAAAUCGCUCGUUGAGUGCAAUGGCAUAAGCCUGCCUGACUGCGAGACUGACAAGUCGAGCAGAGUCGAAAGACGGCCAUAGUGAUCCGGUGGUCCCACGUGGAAGGGCCAUCGCUCAACGGAUAAAAGGUACGCCGGGGAUAACAGGCUGAUGAUCUCCAAGAGUCCAUAUCGACGAGAUCGUUUGGCACCUCGAUGUCGACUCAUCACAUCCUGGGGCUGGAGCAGGUCCCAAGGGUUCGGCUGUUCGCCGAUUAAAGUGGUACGUGAGUUGGGUUCAGAACGUCGCGAGACAGUUCGGUCCCUAUCUGCCGUGGGUGUAGGAGAAUUGAGAGGAUCUGUCCCUAGUACGAGAGGACCGGGAUGGACGUAUCUCUGGUGGACCUGUUGUCGCGCCAGCGGCAUAGCAGGGUAGCUAUAUACGGACGGGAUAACCGCUGAAAGCAUCUAAGCGGGAAACCCACCUCAAAACGAGUUCUCCCUUGAGAGUCGUGGAAGACCACCACGUUGAUAGGCCGGGUGUGGAAGUGCAGCAAUGCAUGCAGCUUACCGGUACUAAUAACUCGAUUGGCUUGAUCACUCUCAUU
rnacentral:rRNA from 1 species